rnacentral:rRNA from 1 species
AAGUAGCAAGGUUAAGCACUUAAGGUGCGGAGCCGUAGCGAAAGCGAGUUUUAACUGAGCGUUCAGUUACUUGACGUAGACCCGAAACCGGGCGACCUUCCCAUGAGCAGGAUGAAGCGAAAGUAAAAUUUCGUGGAGGUCCGAACCCACGAGCGUUGAAAAGCUCGGGGAUGACUUGUGGGUAGCGGUGAAAUUCCAAUCGA